rnacentral:misc_RNA from 1 species
AACGCACAUUGCGCCCGCUGGUAUUCCGGCGGGCAUGCCCGUUCGAGCGUCAUUUCAAUUCCUUCCCAGGAGGGAGCCACUGUUUCCACAGAGGUUUCUACCAGGGGUGUUGGCACCUGGCGCCGCCUAGGCGACCGGAGCCCAAAUGCAGUGGCGGACGUGCAAGCGGUCCCUAGCGCAGUAGACAUCAAAAACUUCGCUCAGGAGGCUCGCAGCAGCGGACCACAGCCUAACGCAAAAAGCUUUUUUUGUUUUUUGCAGCAAAAACUUGACCUCGAAUCGGGUAGGACUACCCGCUGAACUUAA